rfam:Erinaceus europaeus unplaced genomic scaffold scaffold00170, whole genome shotgun sequence
UGUGAGGGCGAUCUGGUUGCGACAUCUGUCACCCCAUUGAUCGCCAGGGUUGAUUCAGCUGAUCUGGCCCGCUAAGCUGGUGUCCCUCUCCUCCCUCACCACUCCAUGUGCGUCCCUCCUGAAGCUGCGCGUUCAGUCAAAGAGGAUGGCCUUCCCCAAUAGAGACUGACCGGUCUUCUGUAGAGGGUAUAGGAGUAGCUGUGCUCCCCUGCUAGAACCUCCAAACAAGCUCUCAAGGAUACUGUUUCUCCACUCCUCACCUGCAGGGGAGUCACUUCACAGGUGGUGAAGCAGGUCUGCAGGUGUCUAUCUUUCUCU